rnacentral:tRNA from 1 species
GCCUGGGUGGCUUAGUGGGUUGAGCAUCUGACUUCAGCUCAGGUCAUGAACUCACGGUUUGUGGGUUUGAGCCCCCGCAUCGGGCU